rnacentral:rRNA from 1 species
CUACGGAGGAUGCGAGCGUUAUCCGGAUUUAUUGGGUUUAAAGGGUGCGUAGGCUGUGCGUUAAGUCAGGGGUGAAAUGCCGUCGCUCAACGACGGAGCUGCCCUUGAUACUGGCGUGCUGGAGUACGGAUGCCGUUGGAGGAAUAAGUGGUGUAGCGGUGAAAUGCUUAGAUAUCACUCAGAACACCGAUUGCGAAGGCAUCUGACGAAUCCGUCACUGACGCUGAGGCACGAAAGCGUGGGGAUAGAACAGGAUUAGAUACCCUGGUAUUCCACGCCGUAAACGAUGAUGACUAACCGUCGGCGAUAGACAGCCGGUGGCCAAGCGAAAGCGAUAAGUCAUCCACCUGGGGAGUACGUCGGCAACGAUGAAACUCAAAUGAAUUGACGGGG